rnacentral:rRNA from 1 species
UUCCGGUUGAUCCUGCCGAAGGCUACUGCUAUUGGAGUUCGAUUAAGCCAUGCGAGUCUAAGGGAUCUUCGGAUCCCUGGCGUAAUGCUCAGUAACACGUGGAUAAUCUACCCUCAGGUGGGGCAUAAACCCGGGAAACUGGGGCCAAUUCCCCAUAAAUACAGAUGGCUGGAAUGCUUCUGUAUUCAAAGCUCCGGCGCCUGAGGAUGAGUCUGCGGCCUAUCAGGUUGUAGUCAGGGUCAUGACCUGACUAGCCAGCGACGGGUAUGGGGUGUGAGAGCACUUGCCCAGAGAUGGUUUCUGAGACACGAAACCAGGCCCUACGGGGCGCAGCAGGCGCGAAAACUUCGCAAUGCGGGAAACCGUGACGAGGGAACUCCAAGUGUCUAUGCAUUGCAUAGACUGUUUUUUAGCCUAAAUAGCUAUUAGAGUAAGGGGUGGGUAAGACCGGUGCCAGCCGCCGCGGUAACACCGGCACCCCGAGUGGUAGCCACUAUUAUUGGGCCUAAAGCGUUCGUAGCCGGUUUGGUAAAUUCUUGGGUAAAUCGUACCGCUUAACGGUGCGGAUUCCGGGGACACUACCAGACUUGAGACCGGGGGAGAUCAGAGGUACUUGCGGGGGAGCGGUGAAAUGUUGUAAUCCCGCAGGGACCACCAGUGGCGAAGGCGUCUGAUCAGAACGGCUCUGACGGUGAGGAACGAAACCCUGGGGCGCAAACGGGAUUAGA